AGCAAUGCCGCGUGUGUGAAGAAGGCCUUCGGGUUGUAAAGCACUUUUGUCCGGAAAGAAAACCUCUUGGUUAAUACCUGAGGGGGAUGACGGUACCGGAAGAAUAAGCACCGGCUAACUACGUGCCAGCAGCCGCGGUAAUACGUAGGGUGCGAGCGUUAAUCGGAAUUACUGGGCGUAAAGCGUGCGCAGGCGGUCUGUUAAGACCGAUGUGAAAUCCCCGGGCUUAACCUGGGAACUGCAUUGGUGACUGGCAGGCUUUGAGUGUGGCAGAGGGAGGUAGAAUUCCACGUGUAGCAGUGAAAUGCGUAGAGAUGUGGAGGAAUACCGAUGGCGAAGGCAGCCUCCUGGGCCAACACUGACGCUCAUGCACGAAAGCGUGGGGAGCAAACA
rnacentral:rRNA from 1 species